GGAGAGGAGUUCGGGAGGGCUCGGCCACCUGGAUCGGCGCGCGUGCGCGCGACGAUCUACGAGGCCAUGCAAGGAAAACGGAUUUUUGCGUUCGCCCAUUACAGAGAUAGCGCCAAUCCGCCUCUUUCAUUAGUGUUCCUGUAUAUGCUCCCGCAGGGAGCAGAGUUGCGCAUUUUUCCGGUGCCGCUCGCACCGCUAUUCGCCAAGCGCGAUCACGGGGUGCAAGAUCACGUCUAAUGAUGAACUGCGCGCUCCGAAGCCAACUUUACGGAAACGGCGCCGACUCGUUUCUGUCAGUACCAUCGAAAUUGCAAUCAGCGGACCGUCGAGUGUGCUUAGCUACGAUCGCCUCCGGGUUUCAGUAUGACUGGUUGCAGCGCACCAAACUGCGCAAAUCGCACGCAAGGUGGCAAAGCUUUUUUACGCGGUGCCGUGCGGACAAACGAGACUGGCCGGCUCCAAGAGGGACCAGGAUAUGCGAGGUCCGUUCGCCUUGUUUACAAAGUGGCUUUGAAUUCUGUCCCCCAAGGCUCCAAGAACCAGAACACAUCCCCUACUGCCACUAGCCAUUGAUCAUCCAUUUCCUUGUACAAAAUAAAUUUGAUCUAGAAGCUCGUGCAUCUUUAAUCUUUUUCCACUUGCAGAUUUGCUGCUACGAAGCAGCUGUGAAGUUUGCGGUAUGAAUCGUAAAAAUAAGCUUUGCAUAAGAUGUGCGCAUGUGAACAUUUGAAAUGCGUUUAAAUUUACGUGUCCGCACCGCAUAUAUAUCGAAAAGGUGCAGCUGCUGUGAACGACGUCUAGUGAUGAAUGACGGUCAAUGGUCACUGACAUAAUUGCAGGCACGAUAGUUCUGUUGGCGACAUUCAUUAUUCGUCUCGUUUCGCCAGCCAAAAUGUGCUUACAUAAUUGUCUACCACACGUGUGUGAAGUUUUCUUUAAACACCCUUUAAAUCAUUUCUUGCCUUCCGCCUCCGCGAGAAAACUUCAUAUGCAUGCUGAAUUCCAUUGCACCGCGCUU